rnacentral:lncRNA from 1 species
UUUAUUUGGCAUGACAUGUGGUCGUGGCUCGUGCAAGCAUGCAUGAUGAACUUUCGCAUGCCCAAAUCGGGUUUCUUCUCGAUAAAGUAUCGCAUUGGGCAGAGAAUCUAUUUGGGCCAAACCCUGGAUUUUUUGGGCCUCAACACCGCCAUACUCUUUCUCUCUCACACACAAGGCUCCAGCCACCACAUACGACUCAG